rnacentral:lncRNA from 1 species
CUUCACGGCUGAGGAACUUUGGCCCCGAGCGAGGAAGCGACCGGCCCACGGCCACACGCCCGGAGGGGCAGCAUCUUCUACUAUGUGCAUCUACAUUGGAUGGCAGUGGAGCAACACAGAUUGUUUUCUGACAAAAAUCAGCCAAGUACUAGGAGAGGCAGGACUUUAGAAGUGGAGGAGAUGGAGAAGGAAGCUUAGGUUACUAUGGAGUGUGCAAAAAGGUCCUGUGGAUUUAGAUACCACCACACACAAAUGGUAUGUAAUACUCACUUGAAGACAAAUCAGCCAGAGGGAUCUAACAGCAUUGACCCAUUCUCUGGUCUUCUAGCAUCCAUCAUAGUUUUGUGCUCCUUUUCCAUGAAACACAGCUGUUGUUGGAAGGUACCUGCCCAGAUAAGGACUGCAUUUCCUCUAGCAUCCAGAUGGGACCAAAUGACUGCUGGCCAAUAGAAGUGAGUGGAAAGGACUGACUCCAGUUCCAGGUUGGGCCUCCAACUGCUCUGGGCACGUCGAUGGAACAGAACACCACCUCCACCCCAAUACCACCAAUUCAACUUUACAUGAAUUAUAAGCGAGAAAUAA